rnacentral:rRNA from 1 species
GACGAACGCUGGCGGCGUGCUUAACACAUGCAAGUCGAACGAGAAGAGAUGAGAAGCUUGCUUCUUAUUGAUUCGAGUGGCAAACGGGGUGAGUAACGCGUAAGCAACCUGCCCUUCAGAUGGGGACAACAGCUGGAAACGGCUGCUAAUACCGAAUACGUUCUUUUUGUCGCAUGGCAGAGGGAAGAAAGGGAGGCUCUUCGGAGCUUUCGCUGAAGGAGGGGCUUGCGUCUGAUUAGCUAGUUGGAGGGGUAACGGCCACCAAGGCGACGAUCAGUAGCCGGUCUGAGAGGAUGAACGGCCACAUUGGGACUGAGACACGGCCCAGACUCCUACGGGAGGCAGCAGU